GGGGAUGAUCGGUUUCGACAGCGGAUGUCGAAGUAGGGGAAGCGAGCCGAGGAACGCGGCAAUGAUCUCGCUAACCAUGUGCCGCAAAAAAAUAAUCGCCAACACCAAGCGCGAUUCCUUCGCCCUCGCUGCCUGAUCAGCGACUUGCGAAGUGUCAGCCCGGGUGCGUUCCCGACCCGGUUCCUGGCAUCAGCUAGGGAACUCACCGCGUAGACCCGGUCACGGGGUCUGCCGGGACAUCAAACAGUGACUGAGCCCGUCGGCAGCUUGUCUGCGUGACUGCCGGGGCUGAGAAAAUCGAAGCAGACUGCGCUCGGAGAAGCCCUCCUUCCGCACCGUUGGACGCGGGUUCGAUUCCCGCCAUCUCCACUG
rnacentral:tmRNA from 2 species